AUUGAACGCUGGCGGCAGGCCUAACACAUGCAAGUCGAACGAGGGGCGGACGGGUGCGUAAUGUCUGGGAAACUGCCCGAUGGAGGGGGCUAACUACUGUAAACGGUAGCUAAUACCGCAUCCCAUCAGAUGUUCCCAGAUGGGUUUAGCUAGUAGGUGGGGUAAAGGCUCACCUAGGCGACGAUCCCUAGCUGGUCUGAGAGGAUGACCAGCCACACUGUAACUGCGACACGGUCCAGACUCCUACGGGAGGCAGCAGUGGGUAAUAUUGCACAAUGGGCGCAAGCCUGAUGCAGCCAUGCCGCGUGUAUGAAGAAGGCCUUCGGGUUGUAAAGUACUUUCAGCGGGGAGGCGUUACCCGCAGAAGAAGCACCGGCUAACUCCGUGCCAGCAGCCGCGGUAAUUC
rnacentral:rRNA from 1 species